CCCUUAGAUGUUCUGGGCCGCACGCGCGCUACACUGAUGCAUUCAACGAGUUUCUUCCUGGUCCGAGAGGAAUGGGUAACCUUUUGAAAGUGCAUCGUGAUAGGGAUAGACUAUUGCAAUUAUUGGUCUUCAACGAGGAAUUCCUAGUAGACGUAGUUCAUCAGACUGCAUCGAUUACGUCCCUGCCCUUUGUACACACCACCCGUCGCUCCUACCGAUUGAAUGCUCAGGUGAGCCAUUCGGACUUUCAUCAUGCUGGUUUCCAGUUUUGAUGAAGGAAAGUCUUGCGAACCUUAUCAUUUAGAGGAAGGAGAAGUCGUAACA
rnacentral:rRNA from 1 species